UCAGUAACGGCGAGUGAAGCGGCAAAAGCUCAAAUUUGAAACCCUCGGGAUUGUAAUUUGAAGAUUUGGCAUUGGAGAAAGCUAACCCAAGUUGCUUGGAAUAGUACGUCAUAGAGGGUGACAACCCCGUCUGGCUAACCGUUCUCCAUGUAUUGCCUUAUCAAAGAGUCGAGUUGUUUGGGAAUGCAGCUCAAAGUGGGUGGUAAACUCCAUCUAAAGCUAAAUACUGGUGAGAGACCGAUAGCGAACAAGUACUGUGAAGGAAAGGUGAAAAGAACUUUGAAAAGAGAGUGAAAUAGUAUGUGAAAUUGUUGAUAGGGAAGGAAAUGAGUGGAGAGUGGCCGAGGUUUCAGCCGCCCCUCGUGGGCGGUGUACUGCCGACGCCGAGUCAUCGAUAGCGAGACGAGGGUUACAAAUGGGAGCGCCUUCGGGCGUUCUCCCCUAACCCUCCACACUGCCACCGACGACAUAAUCCACCCAUUUCACCCGUCUUGAAACACGGACCA
rnacentral:rRNA from 1 species